GUUAUAGCCAUGGGGUCACACAUCAAUGGUUACCUUCUGACAUGGACGAUGUGUCCCAUUACCUCAUACUGUCUACUAAUUAUUAUUUUUACCAGUAUUGCUCAUUAAUUUGUUGCUGUACAUUUACUCUCACUUGCUCAUUUGGAUUAGUAAGUUUGCACGUGCAUUGCAUGUUGUGUUAAUGGGAGGUGGCCUCUUGCUAAUUGGAUUAGUAAGUCUGCACAGAAAAAUUGGGUGUAUUUGAUCAAAAACUGUCAUGAGCUGUUCAUAACAGAAAAAUCAGCGACAAACCCUAGUAUAGUUUUGGACGGUUUGUUCCUGAAUAUUUGAUGGAUAGGAGUAUGUGCUAGUGGCACUAUGCAUUUUUCUUUAAAAUUACUGGGAAGCAUUGUUUCUUUACAUUUUGUUACGUGACAGUUUGCUGAUACUCCAUUUUAUAGGGUCGCGGCGAAACAGGAACUUUGGUCAUGGUGUAAAAGCUUUCCAAUACUUGCUCCGUUGAUUAUCUGUUUCAAAUUGGAGGCGGAACAAGUUAGUUUGGACUAGUAGUAAAUUUUGUGGAAUAAGUGCAUUCGAUGACUAUACACACCGCCUUGAUGUAUCUUAACAGUGUUAAGGCGUAUGCAGCCGUAACUACUUGAGAGGAUAUGCAAUUUGUUAGUAUGUUUCUUAGGGGCUGAACACAGUGCAGACAUGUGUAUGUAUAUGAAUCAUCUAUAUUUCUUCUGAUGUUAUUGAAGAAUAUAUACCUGACCUAGCAGGCUGUUUUUUUUUUGAAGUGUACUCUAACUGCUUACAAUAGCUUUUAUCUUUCCCAUAUAUAUAUAUAUAUAUAUAUAUAUAUAUAUAUAUAGGGCCGCGCUAUUCAUCACCCUGGGUGAGAAAUUCUUAUUCCUCACCCCAGCCACCCCACGGCCAGAAUUUCAAAACGUAAGAAAUAAAGACACCCGAUGUAAGAUUACAACAGGGAGAAAGAAACGUACUAUGGAGCACUGCCGUAAGAAACAAGGGUUGUGAGGUAAAUUUUCCUCACGCAUGCAAAGUAAGUUACGGCACAUGCAAACAGUGUUUGGAGACUGGACCACUGCCGAAAGAAAACAAUAGGUUUGCGAGGUAAAUUUACCUCGCCGACUAUACUACCUCUAUCUGCACGAGCUCCAUGCAUCGCAAGACCCUUUCUAUCUGCAUCUGAUCGUCUUCUUUAAAAAGAUAUUUUUUGCUUCGAGAAAACAACGAGAUAGUGAUGCAUACUCUCUCCUUUUUACCUCUAUUUUUAUCUAGACCUGUUCAUUAGGCGCCAUGGAUUUGAUGUAGUAAAUUCUCAUUUGGAAAUUUAUUUGGAGGUACCAUUUAUGGAAUUGCAUCCUCGAUUAUUCAAAAGUUAUUUCCUCGACUAGUGACUGAAAUUUCCAACGAUAACCUCCAUUGACUUCUUUAAUAUAUAUAUGGAGUAGUUUUACCUCGAAGCGCCUAGCGCCGAACUAUAUUGAAAUAGAGAGAAUAAUUUAUAGAUCAUCUCUAAGAAACAUGGAGCUAGUAUUUACAGGGUCAGCUCUUGAGAAAAACAGAACUGGAACUCUACUCAUAACCUCAGAGCUGAUUACACAACACUCCAGAGAGAACUCCAAUACAGUCCCAGUCGGGAGAAAGCAACAAAAAUAUGAUUCAGAAAGAAGACAACCCGCCUGCAGCUCUCCUAGAUUGAAACUCCUCUCAGCAUAACUGUGUUGUCAAAGAUCUUUGUGUUUUUCCAUAUUUUCAAAUGUAUUAAUAUCAGUCUACUGUUAUUAGGGUACUUAUAGAUGAGCUACCUACAGUGUAAAAAAUGAUUAGUAUAGGAAGCAAGUUGCAACUGUUCUGGCAUUACACAUCAUUUAUCAAAAAUAUGUUCUCUUUUAGUCUUUCAGAUACCUUUACAGAGACUCAAAUCAUGAAUGCUACGAACGAAAAUAACAGCACGUGAUUCAAGUUAUAAACAAUAUGUUCUCUGACAUGUACCACCUGCUGUAGUAGUGUAGAUUGUAGAAAAUGAGCAGAUAGUAGUACAAUUCAGUUUCUUUCAAAAAUAUUUUGGUUUCAGACCAACAAUUCAAUUAUUUUUUGCAGAAGAAUGGCUUGUCUAAAAACACAGGGUGCUAGGAGCUUGGUGAAUAGGGGGUGCUAUAUCUAAAAUGCGGUGAAUAAAACGGAACAUGCGGUAAGAUAGGAGCUUAGUGAAUCAUUACUGUUGUAAUAAAGGAGCUACAAAAUUCUCAGAUAUAGGUCGGAAUGUUACUGUAAAAAGAUAGUAGAUUAAGGCAAGUAGAUUCAAAGAAAAUGUUUUGAUCGAACUAAAUAUAAAGCUUCUCCCAUUAGGUGGAUUGAUGAUAUUUACUUCAAUCAGAAUUAUCCGAGAGGAUUCAUCCAAAAUUCCAAAUACUACAAGAACUUGUGAUAGGGUGAUUAAUCACAUAAAGCCUAUAUGCACAUGGAAAGAAGUAUGCUCCAGACUGCAAUAUAGCAAAUUCAAUCUCCAUACUCUCAUAGAACUAAUGAUUACAUGUACUACUUUCCAGAAUAGAGUUUAGGCAUGUACGAUAACCAAUCAAGGUUCUUUAUGAAAGACACCAAUCAAGGUUCUGGAGGUGUUGGACAUCUGAUCGAAGCCUGACUACUUUGUUCUCUACGACCUGUUGAACAACGUCAGAUGGAAGAGUUUGCCUACAGAAGUCACACUUUCACGAAGUGUGUACAAAUCUAAAAGACAUAUAAGAUGUGCGAGUACAGUAGCGACAUUUAUCUAACUGACCUUUAAUUUGCCUUUGAUCAGUCCAAACCAAUGGUAUGGCAUGGUACUAGUAGUGCACUACUAAACAACCUACAAUCAAUAGAGCCAGAGAUUUUUUUUCCUAUAAAACCAAUAAAAAGUGCAGGUUUUAAGGAGAAAAAGACUUCUCUCCCAGAUAGAAAAAGAGCGGAGCUCAGUUUCCUCCUCUCCUUUCUGUGAUAAUUUUAAUUAGACCUAUAUGACCUUAAUAGCCCUUGAACACUCAUCAUUACCAUUAUGAGAAGUUCAAUCCUUAUUGUCAGUGUAUGUUCUUUAACACAAUAGCUGGGGUUAAACUAGGUGACUGUUUUUACUGAAUCAAGAACAGUAUUCUGAACGUACUUUAUUUUACUCUCACAAUCUAGGAUUUUUUUAAACAAUUGAUCAAAUACAUUGUCAAGGAGGACCUAAAAAUAAUAUGAAUGAACUUGCUCAGUAAAAUGGCAAGGAUUGCAUCUUACUGGGUAUGCUUUUCUUCUUCCAGAAUACAUCUGCACACUUGCAGGGUGCAAAACUUCACUUGUCUGAAUGGAAAAUACCUCCAGCAGAUUAUUGCACUUGAAAUGAAAAUAGCGAGAAGAGGUUUAUUCAUUGCUUCUAUGGUACGACUAGCAGCUCCUGAAACACAUAAUCAUGCAUCUUCAUUCUGAAGCACAUAAUCAUGCAUCUUCAUUCUGAAACACGUAAUCAUCCAAGGAGUAGCUGUUAGUCACACAAAUGCUAGUGUAACCUCAAGUUCAUUGGAUGUCAUUCUGAAUAAAGAGAAUAGGAGCAUGCCCAGCUAUAUCGUUCUGUCCAGUGUCUAUCAACAGAUCAAAAGUAGCAAUAAAUAGGUACUUAACCAUUCAUUACUCGACUGAAGCACAAUGUAAAAAAAAAUGAUAACCAAACCUGAAAAACUUCAGUGUACUGCAGGUGUAUGUAGUGCUUUCAUAGAGUUGACAAAGAGCUACGAAUGUACCAUGAAUUGGAAAUAGAAAACGUGAUCCUGCAUCCUAAUUUUUUUGUAGUUGCUACCAUAUCUCACUAGUGUUCUGGAUUGCACCUAGAGAAAAGUUCUGAAGCCUUCCACAGAUACCCUCAACAACUUCCGGUCAAAGUGAAAAUCCAUAAUUUUAUGACGACGAUUAAAGUUUAAGAAAAGUCACAUUUGUGUCCUUUAGCAAUAUGAGGUAACCGAAAGGUUCAAAUUUUGAUCAAUUCAAGGUAUGAUCAGCCCCAAUGGCAGUGCUUCGACUAACUGAACUAUCAACAAGGCAAUGAUAUUGUGCAUUGAGAUCACGGUUACUCGGGCUUAAAUGAUUUGUGCUUCUUAUUGGGGUGCCACCCUUCCCGGUUUCUUACUAUGCCUUCUUAUGCAGCAGAGCAGAUUCACAAUGAUUGGAUGGUCAACCUAAUACAGUAGCAACACCCCGAUUCGAUUCUAAGUUUAAAUGGCCGGACAUGGUACUUUUCAGUAGCAGGGGACAGUCCAAUUCAUUCAAAAUAGUGGAGCUCCAAGGAAAAAAGAUGGAGUUUAUUCAUAAUAAAGAAGAAACAUGGCUAUUUAUUAGAACAUGCAACAUAUGGGGACUCUAAACGGAGGAUUCAUCAGACACAAACUGCUGAAUGUAAACUAUUUAUUGAAAAUAGGAGCUUAGUAGGAGGACUGGGAGCAUUUGUAGGCUAGAUCUAAAGAGAAGCUCUUGAUUUGUCCUCAACAUCAAAUCCGGUGAAGGCCCAUACUAAAAUUUGUGCAGCCAAAUUGAAACGAGUAAACUUCAUGUAUGGAUGCAACAACCUGCGCCGAAUCUGAGAAAGGCCAAGACCUAGCACCAUAGCAGCCGCCGCAUCUGGCAAGUCAAUACGCCUAAGUUCCAUAGGGAAAGUAGAAUUCUAGAUUGGGAGAGACGGGAGGAGAAAUACAGGGGCAUAAAUCUUGGCAAUGCAUCAGAGUGUCGAGAGCUCACCGUGACGCCGUCGUAGACCGCUAUUGCCGGCGCAGAGCGGUGCAGCCCCGCAGCACUGCCUUGAGGAACCCAGAGAGUUCACCACACCGCCGAGGCCACCACUGCCACCGAGCACCACGGGAUGAAACUUCAACGCCAUCACCAACCACGGCACCGCCCAAGACCUAGGCAGCUACCCCACCCAUGGCGCCGCCGUGCGCCGCCGAUACUCCCGAUACGGUUCGCAACUCUUCUUCUAAAAAAAAUAGUUUGCAGCAGUUUAGAAAAGGAUGGGGAGGUGGGGUUGUGUUCGAGUCAACGCUUGAAACGUAAAAUUACUUCAACCUCAAUAUAAUUUUCCAGCGAGGGAUAGCGGGCUAGCUUUUCCCCAAUCGCAAAACGGUG
rnacentral:lncRNA from 1 species